CAUCGGUGACAGGUGGUGCAUGGUUGUCGUCAGCUCGUGUCGUGAGAUGUUGGUUAAGUCCGCAACGAGCGCAACCCCUAUUGUUAGUUGCCAUCAUUCAGUUGGGCACUCUAGCGAGACUGCCGGUAAUAAACCGGAGGAAGGUGGGAUGACGUCAAAUCAUCAUGCCCUUAUGACCUGGGCUACACACGUGCUACAAUGGUUGGUACAACGAGUUGCGAGUCGGUGACGGCGAGCUAAUCUCUUAAAGCCAAUCUCAGUUCGGAUUGUAGGCUGCAACUCGCCUACAUGAAGUCGGAAUCGCUAGUAAUCGCGGAUCAGCACGCCGCGGUGAAUACGUUCCCGGGCCUU
rnacentral:rRNA from 1 species